GACGAACUGUCCUAACGUUGUUCGGAAUCACUGGGUGUAAAGGGCGCGUAGGCGGCUUUUCAAGUCGGGCGUGAAAUCUCCGGGCUUAACCCGGAAGGGUCGUUCGAUACUGUUGAGCUAGAGUGUGGAAGAGGCAACUAGAAUUCCGUGUGUAGCGGUGAAAUGCGUAGAUAUACGGAGGAAUACCUGAGGCGAAGGCGGGUUGCUGGGCCAACACUGACGCUGAGGCGCGAAAGCCAGGGGAGCAAACGGG
rnacentral:rRNA from 1 species